GACAGAGGUGCCGAGCGUUAGGCGGAAUUACUGGGCGUAAAGCGCGUGUAGGCGGGUCUUUAAGUCAGGGGUGAAAUGCCAGGGCUCAACCUUGGAACUGCCUUUGAUACUGGAGACCUUGAGUCCGGGAGAGGUGAGUGGAAUUGCGAGUGUAGAGGUGAAAUUCGUAGAUAUUCGCAAGAACACCAGUGGCGAAGGCGGCUCACUGGCCCGAUACUGACGCUGAGGUGCGAAAGCGUGGGGAGCAAACAGG
rnacentral:rRNA from 1 species